GCUUGUCUCAAAGAUUAAGCCAUGCAUGUCUAAGUAUAAGCCUUUAUAUGGUGAGACUGCGAAUGGCUCAUUAAAUCAGAAACUGUUUAUUUGAUAGUGCCUACUACAUGGAUACCUGUAGUAAUUCUAGAGCUAAUACGUGCAACAAACCCCGACUUCUGGAAGGGACGCAUUUAUUAGAUAAAAGGUCGACGCGGGCUCUGCCCGUUGCUGCGAUGAUUCAUGAUAACUCGACGGAUCGCACGGCCCUCGUGCCGGCGACGCAUCAUUCAAAUUUCUGCCCUAUCAACUUUCGAUGGUAGGAUAGUGGCCUACUAUGGUGGUGACGGGUGACGGAGAAUUAGGGUUCGAUUCCGGAGAGGGAGCCUGAGAAACGGCUACCACAUCCAAGGAAGGCAGCAGG
rnacentral:rRNA from 1 species